CGGAGGAUCCAAGCGUUAUCCGGAUUUACUGGGUUUAAAGGGAGCGUAGGUGGGUUGGUAAGUCAGUGGUGAAAUCUUCGAGCUUAACUCGGAAACUGCCAUUGAUACUAUCAAUCUUGAAUUAUCUGGAGGUAAGCGGAAUAUGUCAUAUAGCGGUGAAAUGCUUAGAUAUGACAUAGAACACCCAUUGCGAAGGCAGCUUACUACGGAUACAUUGACACUGAGGCUCGAAAGCGUGGGGAUCAAACAGGAUUAGAUACCCUGGUAGUCCACGCCCUAAACGAUGGAUACUCGACAUCAGCGAUACACUGUUGGUGUCUGAGCGAAAGCAUUAAGUAUCCCACCUGGGAAGUACGACCGCAAGGUUG
rnacentral:rRNA from 1 species